rnacentral:rRNA from 1 species
AACGAACGCUGGCGGCAUGCCUAACACAUGCAAGUCGAACGAGACCUUCGGGUCUAGUGGCGCACGGGUGCGUAACGCGCGGGAGCCUGCCCUUUGGUUCGGAAUAACUCCCCGAAAGGGGUGCUAAUACCGGAUAAUGUCUUCGGACGAACGAUUUAUCGCCUUUGGAUGGGCCCGCGUUGGAUUAGCUAGUUGGUAGGGUAAAAGCCUACCAAGGCGACGAUCCAUAGCUGGUCUGAGAGGAUGAUCAGCCACACUGGGACUGAGACACGGCCCAGACUCCUACGGGAGGCAGCAGUGGGGAAUAUUGGACAAUGGGCGAAAGCCUGAUCCAGCAAUGCCGCGUGAGUGAUGAAGGCCUUAGGGUUGUAAAGCUCUUUUACCCGGGAUGAUAAUGACAGUACCGGGAGAAUAAGCUCCGGCUAACUCCGUG